UACGGGGGGGGCAAGCGUUGUUCGGAAUUACUGGGCGUAAAGGGCCAGUAGGCGGCCAACUAAGUCGGAUGUGAAAUCCCCAGGCUUAACCUGGGAACUGCAUCCGAUACUGGAUGGCUUGAAUUCGGGAGAGGGAUGCAGAAUUCCAGGUGUAGCGGUGAAAUGCGUAGAUAUCGGGAGGAACAUCGAUGGCGAAGGCAAUCACCUGGGCCUGAACUGACACUGAGACACGAAAGCGUGGGUAGCAAACAGG
rnacentral:rRNA from 1 species